GGUGCUGUCCUUUCCCCUGCGGCCUCUGCUCUGGCGGCAGUACGCGGGCCGAGCUCUAGACACGUGCGGGAUGACUUGAAAGUAGGGCAUCCUUGGCCUUACGGAAGAGAGUAAAUUCACGGCAUGUGGACGGUCUGUAUGGCGUUCUCAGAUGCCUUUAUCUGAGUGAGAAAUCUGCCUCCAUCAGAAUCUCAGAUGUCUGACAGCCCUGUGUGACACCAGGAUAGAGAAAGAGAGUGCAAGCCGGGGAAGGACAGAUGAUC